rnacentral:rRNA from 1 species
UACGAAGGGGGCUAGCGUUGUUCGGAAUCACUGGGCGUAAAGGGCGCGUAGGCGGCCGAUCAAGUCGGGAGUGAAAGCCUGUGGCUCAACCACAGAAUUGCCUUCGAUACUGUUUGGCUUGAGACCGGAAGAGGUUAGUGGAACUGCGAGUGUAGAGGUGAAAUUCGUAGAUAUUCGCAAGAACACCAGUGGCGAAGGCGGCUGACUGGUCCGGUUCUGACGCUGAGGCGCGAAAGCGUGGGGAGCAAACAGG